rnacentral:lncRNA from 10 species
AGAAAGUCAGGAGAUCUUAGAAACUGACUUUCAUUUAUAACCUGCUGAUUCACCUAGAUCAGGUUACUGGGAAGAAAUCCAAGUCAGACCUCCUGACCUACUCGAAACAGCAUGAGGUUCUGAAGGGGCCCAGGAAGAAACCUCCUCUUCCCCAGCUGAGUUGAGAACCAAGUGGAAGACAAAGAAGUUAGACAGCAGAUGAAAAAGUGACCUGCCUUGCACCUUGCCAGUUGGCUUGCUAGCUCUCCCCUGAUUUGAACUUCUGACAACAGAACAUGCUCCACCAAACUUACCAUGUGAAGGACAGCACAUGGGCAUUCUUUCUGAGACCUGCAAAGAAAACAAAGGGAGAGGCUAAGCAGACAAAGGAAAACUCUUUCUUCUCAAAUCAAUCAGAUAAUGAACUCCUGUUCCCUUUAGGAGAAAUGAGUGGGUGGGGAGAGAAAAGCAAGCAGUUGACCUCUGGAGGUCCUUAGACUUAAAAACAUAAAGCCCAAGGAAGAAAAUUCCUCCCCAGCAUUAACUUGGACCAGUAAUGUUUUUCUAUUUAUAUUCCAUAUGUAAAUAUGCCUGUGAGGUAUUAUGUAUUGUCUUUGUGCCUUUAAGUGCAUUUCUUUAAAAAAUCUGUAACUUUAAACUUAAAUAGAAAGGCACAAAAUGGAUUGUUAUUUUAUACAAUGGAGUUCUGAUAUUAAUUAUUGUUACUUCUCACAAAACAAGUACUAAAGAUUUCUUAGUUUUGGCUAAAAUAGUAUUGUGAAUUGUGGCUGAGUGGUGUGCUCUUUUUGAAUUUCCCAAUUUUAGCUCAUUCACUUCUCU